rnacentral:rRNA from 1 species
UUCGCAAUGCCCGAAAGGGUGACGAAGCGACGCCGCGUGGGUGAGGAAGGCCUUCGGGUUGUAAAGCCCUGUCAGGAGUUAAGAAAUGUAAGUGCGCUAAUAUCGCAUUUAUUUGACAAAGGCUCCAAAGGAAGCCACGGCUAACUCUGUGCCAGCAGCCGCGGUAAUACAGAGGUGGCAAGCGUUGUUCGGAAUUAUUGGGCGUAAAGAGCACGUAGGUGGGUUUGUAAGUCAGAUGUGAAAGCCUUCUGUUCAACGGAAGAAUUGCAUCUGAAACUGCAAGUCUUGAGUGUAGGAGGGGAGAAUGGAACUUCUGGUGGAGCGGUGAAAUGCGUAGAUAUCAGAAGGAACGCCGGCGGCGAAAGCGAUUCUCUGGCCUAUUACUGACACUCAGUGUGCGAAAGCUAGGGGAGCAAACGGGAUUAGAUACCCCGGUAGUCCUAGCUGUAAACGAUGGGCACUAAGUAGAGGGGUUUUA